CCCUUAGAUGUUCUGGGCAGCACGCGCGCUACAAUGGUCUUCGCAAACGGAUGCAUUCUCGAAGGAGAAUGCCAAUCUUGGAAUCUAUGCCUUGGUCGGGACAGUUGCUUGCAAUUUUUCGACUCGAACCAGGAAUUCCUUGUAAUCGUGAUUCAUCACAUCACGAUGAAUACGUCCCUGCCCUUUGUACACACCGCCCGUCGCUCCUACCGAUCGAGGAGUUAGGUGAAUUGUUUUGAUCGAUAAGAUUUGACUAUGGUCAACUCUCGUUGUGAAAUUCUCUGAAUCUGACUGUUUAGAGGAAGGAAAAGUCGUAACA
rnacentral:rRNA from 1 species